GCAAAAGCUCAAAUUUGAAAUCUGGUACCUUCGGUGCCCGAGUUGUAAUUUGGAGAGGGCAACUUUGGGGCCGUUCCUUGUCUAUGUUCCUUGGAACAGGACGUCAUAGAGGGUGAGAAUCCCGUGUGGCGAGGAGUGCGGUUCUUUGUAAAGUGCCUUCGAAGAGUCGAGUUGUUUGGGAAUGCAGCUCUAAGUGGGUGGUAAAUUCCAUCUAAAGCUAAAUAUUGGCGAGAGACCGAUAGCGAACAAGUACAGUGAUGGAAAGAUGAAAAGAACUUUGAAAAGAGAGUGAAAAAGUACGUGAAAUUGUUGAAAGGGAAGGGCAUUUGAUCAGACAUGGUGUUUUGUGCCCUCUGCUCCUUGUGGGUAGGGGAAUCUCGCAUUUCACUGGGCCAGCAUCAGUUUUGGUGGCGGGAUAAAUCCAUAGGAAUGUAGCUUGCCUCGGUAAGUAUUAUAGCCUGUGGGAAUACUGCCAGCUGGGACUGAGG
rnacentral:rRNA from 1 species